CACACACGCUGGGUGUGACCCCGGGGUCACCGCGAAGCGACUUUGAAUCCUCGCAGAGCGCGGCUCCUGCAUUCCAGCGCCCCUGGCUUGUUGGGCGCGAGCCGGAGGAAGUGUCAGUCAUUCGGGACUCCUCGCCCCUUUUCUGUGCCCCUCCCUGGGAUUUCACCGAGCGAAGGAGCCGCCGCUGGACUCCUGCGAGCGAGCGAGCCUGUUUUUGUGAAGGUCCAGGAGGGUGGACGGGAACUGGGAGGAGGAGGAGGAGGAGGAGGAGGAGGAGGAGGAGCACAGCUGCACCCUACAGAAGCCGGCUCUCUCCGUCUGACAGCCAGCUCGCCGCUCCUGAGCGGCCUGAAACGGCGGCAGGAUCGGGUUUUCCGGAACGGGUCGGGACAGGAAAGGAUACUUUUGGAGGUGCUGGUGCUGAGAGGAGCGCGUGAGCGAGAGCUGACUGUACAGAAGAUGCUUCAUUCUGUGGACGCCUAGCAGCAGAGAGGGGGAUGAGUGCAGACGCAGCAGGGCCCCGAAACGGCGCUGAUGCAGGUAUGUGGAGCAGCACAGAGGACGGUGCUGCGGCGGAAGUUGAGGUCAAGAGGAGGAGGAGAAUGAUCCUGACACACACACACUGAUUCAUGAGGAGACCAUGGCAGAAAACACAUUUUAAUAAAAAUUCAUAAUCACAAAGAACGUUAAUUGUA
rnacentral:lncRNA from 1 species